UAGUUAUUCUUUGCAUCUGAGUUUUCCAGUUUGAUGAUCAAAUAACGUCUGACCUUCUUCUCUUUGGUUAAUAUUGUAAGUUGCUGCACUUUCUUUCUUUGUUUUGCUGGUUUCCCCUCUUUUCUGCUGGAAGUUAAGAAAUUUACUGUAUUAUUGCAAUUCAUCAUUGGUGUCUGCACAAAGCUGGAAGGUUAAGAACAUGAUCUCUUUAAUGCGUCACUGUUGGACACAUUUUUUUUAUGUUUGAAAGUGCUGGAACUGAUAUGAUGCAUGUAGAAAGGCCAAACUAUGAUGUAUGUGAGACGUGCUCUAAGGUAGGGAUCACUAUAUUGGUGAGGGAGCAGUGAUAAAAACAUGUCAUUUGUCAAUUCUAUUUACUUUUCAUGGUCACUGUGUUUAGGCUUUGAGCUUCUAUUUUAAAUUUAAAAAUUUUUAAAAUUAGGUUAAUGGAGUAUUG
rnacentral:misc_RNA from 1 species